rnacentral:rRNA from 1 species
GACGAACGCUGGCGGCGUGCCUAAUACAUGCAAGUUGAGCGCUGAAGGUUGGUACUUGUACCAACUGGAUGAGCAGCGAACGGGUGAGUAACGCGUGGGGAAUCUGCCUUUGAGCGGGGGACAACAUUUGGAAACGAAUGCUAAUACCGCAUAAAAACUUUAAACACAAGUUUUAAGUUUGAAAGAUGCAAUUGCAUCACUCAAAGAUGAUCCCGCGUUGUAUUAGCUAGUUGGUGAGGUAAAGGCUCACCAAGGCGAUGAUACAUAGCCGACCUGAGAGGGUGAUCGGCCACAUGGGGACUGAGACACGGCCCAAACUCCUACGGGAGGCAGCAGUAGGGAAUCUUCGGCAAUGGACGAAAGUCUGACCGAGCAACGCCGCGUGAGUGAAGAAGGUUUUCGGAUCGUAAAACUCUGUUGGUAGAGAAGAACGUUGGUGAGAGUGGAAAGCUCAUCAAGUGACGGUAACUACCCAGAAAGGGACGGCUAACUACGUG